rnacentral:rRNA from 1 species
UACAGAGGUCUCAAGCGUUGUUCGGAUUCAUUGGGCGUAAAGGGUGCGUAGGUGGCGCCGUAAGUCGGGUGUGAAAUUUCGAGGCUUAACCUCGAAACUGCAUUCGAUACUGCGGUGCUUGAGGACUGGAGAGGAGACUGGAAUUCAUGGUGUAGCAGUGAAAUGCGUAGAGAUCAUGAGGAAGACCAGUGGCGAAGGCGGGUCUCUGGACAGUUCCUGACACUGAGGCACGAAGGCCAGGGGAGCAAACGGG